UUUUUGUUGAAUUUUGAUCAUCACGUGUCGCGCUUUUAUUAGACUUAGUUCUAUGCAUCUAAUUAACAUAUCAACGUCCAAUAAAAACGUGACACGUGACGAUCAAGGCAA
rfam:Glycine soja cultivar W05 scaffold198_61, whole genome shotgun sequence.